GAUGAACGCUGGCGGCGUGCCUAACACAUGCAAGUCGAGCGGAGAGGUUGCGGAGAUUCAAUCGAUGAUCUGCUUCUUCUUAGCGGCGGAUGGGUGAGUAACACGUGGGUAACCUGCCCUGCACUGGGGAAUAACAGUUGGAAACGACUGUUAAUACCGCAUAUGCGCACGGGGUCGCAUGACCCCGGGCGGAAAGAUUUAUCGGUGCAGGAUGGGCCCGCGUCGGAUUAACUUGUUGGUGAGGUAAUGGCCCACCAAGGUGAUGAUCCGUAGCCGACCUGAGAGGGUGACCGGCCACAUUGGGACUGAGACACGGCCCAAACUCC
rnacentral:rRNA from 1 species